CAAUAGCGUAUAUUAAAGUUGUUGCAGUUAAAAAGCUCGUAGUUGGAUUUGUGGUGUACUUCGGCGGCCCGUCACUAUGUGAUGGAGCUUGCUGAAGUCGCCAUCCUUGGGUGGAUCCUGUGUGGCAUUAAGUUGUCGUGCAGGGGAUGCCCAUCGUUUACUGUGAAAAAAUUAGAGUGUUCAAAGCAGGCUUAUGCCGUUGAAUAUAUUAGCAUGGAAUAAUAAGAUAGGACCUUGGUACUAUUUUGUUGGUUUGCGCACCAAGGUAAUGAUUAAUAGGGACAGUUGGGGGUAUUCGUAUUUCAUUGGCAGAGGUGAAAUUCUUGGAUUUUUGAAAGACGAACUACUGCGAAAGCAUUUACCAAGGAUGUUUUCAUUAA
rnacentral:rRNA from 1 species